GCAUUGGUGAUUCAAUGGUAGAAUUCUUGCCUUUCAUGCAGGAGACCUGGGUUUGGUUCCCGGCCAAUGCA
rnacentral:tRNA from 1 species